UGAAACCUCUAGUUUACUCUAUUGACUUUACCUUGAUUCAAAUUCCUUGCAAAAUAUCACAAUCUAUAACCUUUGCAUGAGAUAUUUAUCUCAUCUUCGUCAAUGCACCACCACAACUCACACUACAAUGCUCACUUCAACACUUCCCCCAAACCACACUCUUCCCACCUUCUCUCACCGACCCAUUUCCCUCAAAGAAGCUUUCCAAUCCUUAACCCAUUUUUUCACUGACCCAUUACCCACAACAACUCGUUUUCCACUUCAACAAGCUUAUUCUCAAGCUCUUGAACUAUGCGCUUCACACAAAGCUCUUCCUCAAGGCCAACAAUUACAUGCCCAUUUUCUCAAAACACAAAAUUAUCUUGAUUCUGUGUUCCUUGACACCAAAUUUGUACACAUGUAUGGAAAAUGUGGCUCUUUUUAUGAUGCAGUCAAAGUGUUUGAUAAAAUGUCUGAACGGACAAUUUUCACUUGGAAUGCGAUGAUAGGUGCUUGUGUGUCAGCGGGGAGGUAUGUUGAGGCGAUUGAAUUGUAUAAAGAGAUGCGGGUACUUGGGGUUUCGCUUGAUGCUUUUACUUUUCCGUGUGUGCUUAAAGCGUGUGGCGCUUUUAAAGAGAGGCGUUUGGGGUGUGAGAUUCAUGGUGUUGCUGUUAAGUGUGGAUAUGGUGGUUUUGUUUUUGUUUGUAAUGCGCUUAUCGCUAUGUAUGCUAAAUGUGGCGAUCUUGGUGGGGCGAGGGUGUUGUUUGAUAGUGGUUUGAUGGAGAAAGAUGAUCCUGUAUCGUGGAAUUCGAUUAUUUCUGCACAUGUUGGUGAGGGUGAGAGUUUGGAGGCAUUGUCACUGUUUAGAAGAAUGCAGGAGGUUGGUGUUGAGAGUAAUACUUACACUUUUGUUUCGGCUCUUCAAGCUUGUGAGGGUCCGACCUUUAUUAAAAUUGGUAGGGGGAUACAUGCCGUCAUUUUGAAAUCUAACCAUUUUACUGAUGUGUAUGUUUCCAAUGCUUUGAUUGCGAUGUAUGCAAAUUGUGGUCAAAUGGAGGAUGCUGAAAGAGUUUUUAAAAGUAUGCUUUUUAAGGAUUGUGUAUCGUGGAAUACAUUGCUUUCGGGUAUGGUGCAAAAUGAUAUGUAUAGUGAUGCUAUAAACCACUUUCAGGAUAUGCAGGAUUCUGGUCAAAAGCCUGAUCAGGUGUCGGUGCUAAACAUGAUCGCAGCAUCGGGCAGAUCGGCGAAUUUAUUGGCGGGCAUGGAAGUCCAUGCUUAUGCAAUAAAACAUGGAAUAGAUUCUAAUAUGCAUAUUGGGAACUCCCUGAUAGAUAUGUAUGGGAAGUGUUGUUGUGUGAAAUAUAUGGGCAGCGCUUUUGAGUAUAUGCCCGAGAAGGACUUGAUUUCUUGGACUACAAUUAUUGCUGGCUAUGCACAAAAUGAAUGCCACCUGGAUGCCUUAAAUUUGUUGAGGAAGGUCCAGUUAGAAAAGAUGGAUGUCGAUCCUAUGAUGAUUGGAAGCAUUUUGCUGGCUUGUAGCGGGUUGAAAUCUGAAAAGCUCAUCAAAGAAAUUCAUGGUUACGUUUUGAAAGGAGGUUUAGCUGAUAUUUUGAUACAAAAUGCCAUUGUCAAUGUAUACGGAGAACUUGCGCUCGUAGAUUAUGCAAGACAUGUCUUUGAAUCAAUUAACUCUAAAGAUAUUGUGUCUUGGACGAGUAUGAUUACUUGUUGUGUUCAUAAUGGACUUGCAAUUGAAGCUCUUGAACUUUUCAACUCUCUGAUAGAAACUAAUAUUGAACCUGAUUUGAUAACUCUUGUCAGCGUACUCUAUGCGGCUGCUGCUUUAUCUUCAUUGAAGAAAGGGAAGGAGAUUCAUGGAUUUCUGAUUAGGAAGGGUUUCUUCUUGGAGGGAUUGAUUGCUAACUCCCUGGUGGACAUGUAUGCUCGCUGUGGAACCAUGGAGAACGCAAGAAAUAUAUUCAACUAUGUAAAACAAAGAGAUCUAAUUUUGUGGACUUCUAUGAUUAAUGCAAAUGGAAUGCAUGGAUGUGGAAAGGAUGCCAUUGAUUUAUUCAGCAAAAUGACUGAUGAAAAUGUUCUUCCUGAUCAUAUUACCUUCUUGGCUUUAUUAUAUGCUUGCAGCCAUUCAGGAUUAGUUGUUGAAGGCAAGCAGCAUUUUGAAAUUAUGAAAAAUGAAUAUAAAUUGGAGCCCUGGCCAGAGCAUUAUGCUUGCCUGGUUGACCUCCUUGCUCGAUCCAAUUCUUUGGAAGAGGCUUACCAUUUUGUGAGAAACAUGCCUAUCGAACCUUCUGCUGAAGUCUGGUGUGCUCUUCUUGGGGCUUGUCGUAUUCAUUCUAACAAUGAUUUAGGAGAGGUUGCUGCAAAGAAGCUCUUGCAAUUAAAUACAGAGAAUUCAGGAAAUUAUGUACUGGUAUCAAACACUUUUGCGGCAGAUGGAAGAUGGAAUGAUGUGGAAGAAGUAAGGUCGAUAAUGAAGGGAAAUAAAUUGAAGAAGAAACCAGGAUGCAGUUGGAUUGAGGUUGAGAAUAAGAUUCACACCUUCAUGGCAAGGGACAAGUCUCAUCCACAAUGUAAUAACAUUUAUCUAAAAUUGGCCCAGUUUACAAAACUUUUGAAAGAAAAAGGAGGCUAUAGGGCUCAAACGAAAUUGGUAUUCCACGAUGUUUGUGAAGAAGAAAAAACACAGAUGCUAUAUGGACAUAGUGAAAGGUUGGCACUUGGUUAUGGUCUGCUUGUUACCUCGAAGGGUACCUGUCUUCGGAUCACAAAGAACCUUCGAAUUUGUGAUGAUUGCCAUGCAUUCUUUAAGAUUGCGUCUGAAAUUUCCCAACGCACCCUUGUUGUGAGGGAUGCCAGCAGGUUCCAUCAUUUUGAAAGAGGGCUCUGUUCAUGUGGAGAUUUCUGGUGACCACUUUGAUUACACACACACCAGCUUUUCUGGUUCCUUCCUGUUGCAGGUAGUCAUCAAAUCGCUCUUCGAAGUUUUAGUGUCUCUUCAUGACAUGUUACUGACAGAGCAUGAGAACUUGUACAAAAAGGGUAAACAGAGCUCGGCAAUUCUCAGAAGUUAGUACUAUACUCUGGGAUUGUAGCCAUAGCCCAUUGGUUUGAGAUGGAAAAAAUAGGCUGAAGCAGCGAUGCUUUGGAAACUAAACGAUUCAAUCUCCAAAUUUUGGAAAUUUGGUUCAUGUUAAUGACAAGAUGAGAUCCUUGCACAUGCACAUGCACAUUUCGAGUACAUGUUGUUAGUGAGAAGGAGGGUGAAGGUUAUGCUAAUUACGAAACAAAAAACGACCUGUCCGGAUGCUCAAGAGGAUGUGCCUUUUUGUACAGAAGUGCAUGAAUUAUUGUGUUAGAAUUUAAACACUUGUGAAUUGGGCCUGUCAAGAUCAUAACCUACAAUUACUUCUGUCUUUAAAGAUGUCAAGCUACCAGCAAAUUUUCAUGAGGCUGCUUUAUGAAAAUUGUGGAUUGACUUGCCUUUGGAGUUAUUACAGUUUGCAUUUUUGAGUUAUUCUGAGUGCCAGGGAAGUCAUUGGAUACAACAAAAAUACGGUACCAUUGGUUUUUUUGUUUUGUUUUGAGAAACCUGGAUUUUUUAGUUGUUCUAGAGUCCAGACGUUCCUUAGUUGCCUAUGUUCUUUUUAAGGAAAACAUCACCCCAUAGCAACGAUGACAUUGUGGGUCCAGUUAUUCCUUUUGCUGUUUUACUUGUGGUUGAUGAAGUUCGCUAUGGCAUCAAAUCCUCAGAUUUGGGAAGUAUUGAAUUUUCAGAUGAUGCAAAGCUUGGCCUUAAAUACAAAGAAGUUAUGCAGAUGGCUGGUGAGAUUGAUGUGUUAUCUCAUCGAUCUAUGCACCCAGAUGACCAUGCAGUCUCUUUGCUGAUGACUAAGAGGAACCCUGGGCUGAUUCUUCAAAACCAACUUUUUCGUCAUAUCGUCCAGCGGCUUGAAUCACUCUCUCACAGGCAAUGUACAUGGAACUCCAUAUAUACUGAUACAAUUUAUGAUACAUUUAUUUUUCAUGUUUUGGAUAAUUCUUGUGAGCAGACUGAACCUGUUGGAGAAGAGAUGUUUGAUGAUCUUUGGCCCAUUGAGUUGAGGUUCAAUGCUCCUGUGAAGAAGUUUGAACAUCAAAGUUCAAGGGCAUACAUUUUAUUGAAAAGAAAGAUGUAUACAUGGCAAAAAAGUUUGAUUCAUAUUUGUAAUCAAUCUGGAUUUGAAAAAGUAGUUUACUGAUGAUUCUUCUCUCAUUCA